CCUACGGGGGGCAGCAGUGGGGAAUAUUGGACAAUGGGGGGAACCCUGAUCCAGCCAUGCCGCGUGUGUGAAGAUGGCCCUCGGGUUGUAAAGCACUUUCAGUGAGGAAGAACGCCUGGUGGUUAAUACCCAUCAGGAAAGACAUCACUCACAGAAGAAGCACCGGCUAACUCCGUGCCAGCAGCCGCGGUAAUACGGAGGGUGCGAGCGUUAAUCGGAAUUACUGGGCGUAAAGCGCGCGUAGGUGGCUUGAUAAGCCGGUUGUGAAAGCCCCGGGCUCAACCUGGGAACGGCAUCCGGAACUGUCAAGCUAGAGUGCAGGAGAGGAAGGUAGAAUUCCCGGUGUAGCGGUGAAAUGCGUAGAGAUCGGGAGGAAUACCAGUGGCGAAGGCGGCCUUCUGGACUGACACUGACACUGAGGUGCGAAAGCGUGGGUAGCAAACAGGAUUAGAUACCCGUGUAGUC
rnacentral:rRNA from 1 species